UACGAAGGGUGCAAGCGUUACUCGGAAUUACUGGGCGUAAAGCGUGCGUAGGCGGUUUGUUAAGUCUGUCGUGAAAGCCCCGGGCUCAACCUGGGAAUGGCGAUGGAUACUGGCGAGCUAGAGUACGGUAGAGGAGAGUGGAAUUCCCGGUGUAGCAGUGAAAUGCGCAGAUAUCAGGAGGAACACCGGUGGCGAAGGCGGGUCUCUGGGCCGAUACUGACGCUGAGGAGCGAAAGCGUGGGGAGCGAACAGG
rnacentral:rRNA from 1 species